rnacentral:rRNA from 1 species
UACGUAGGGGGCAAGCGUUGUCCGGAUUUAUUGGGCGUAAAGGGUGCGUAGGUGGCGCGCUAAGUCGGGUGUGAAAUCUCGGAGCUUAACUCCGAAAUUGCAUUCGAUACUGGCGUGCUUGAGGACUGGAGAGGAGACUGGAAUUUACGGUGUAGCGGUGAAAUGCGUAGAUAUCGUAAGGAAGACCAGUGGCGAAGGCGGCCGACUGGGCCGUUCCUGACGCUGAGACCCGAAAGCCAGGGUAGCGAACCGG